UACGUAGGGGGCUAGCGUUGUCCGGAAUCAUUGGGCGUAAAGAGGGCGUAGGCGGUCCGGUAAGUCCGCUGUGAAAGUCGGGGGCUCAACCCUCGAAUGCCGGUGGAUACUGUCGGGCUAGAGUGCGGAAGAGGCGAGUGGAAUUCCUGGUGUAGCGGUGAAAUGCGUAGAUAUCAGGAGGAACACCUAUUGCGAAGGCAGCUCGCUGGGACGUAACUGACGCUGAGACGCGAAAGCGUGGGGAGCAAACAGG
rnacentral:rRNA from 1 species